GCAACCCUCGAGACGACAAGUUCUUACAAAAAUUCCAACAUUAUUGCGAACAUUGAAUGCAACACUUGCCGUAACCUAGCAACUAACCCACAAUGCAUUGCGUUGAGGAGACGUGUUUGAAAAGUUAACAUUAGCAGUUCUAUACAGGCGAAAAUAGCAGCAUGUCUUUUUCUAUCCUGAAAUGACAAAUCGGCGAGGAAAACCGUCGGUUUAAUCCUGCGUGGACUGACAAGUAUUUAUUUAUUUACCACCAAGUCCGAACGCCAAACCAAUGCGUUUACUCUGCAACGAGUGCUUUGCAGCGCUGAAAGAUUAUCAUGUCCCAAGACACCACAUUGAAAAACAUGCUGCGUUUCGGACAAACUUUCCCGAGGGAUGUCAUGAGAGAGCGGCUAUAAUUCAGAGUUUGACUGCAUCUUACAACCGGAGCUGUACUACAAUGAAGCGGACCUGCACAGCUCAGGAAAGGGCCACUAAAAAGAGGCCGUUCACAGACUCAGAAACUGUGAAGGACUGCAUGUUGGCUGUCGUGGAUGAAGUUUUAACGGACGAUAAAGUUAAGACGAGUGUGACAUCUGCUAUCAAACAGGUCUGACACGUCAAACAUUCUCGCCACAGAUGUCUUCGAGACAUGCAUGGCACCAGCUGAUGGCUCCAAUCCAGGCCCAGUUUUAUUACUACUCUGCGGUAUACCUGAAACACCAGAAGAAGAAAAAAAAAACACACUAAUACUCAUGGAGUUGAUCCAAAACGAGCAGCGCCGAAGCCAAAGACACACCCGUUUGUUUUUCUUUUGUGCCAACAGUCUUGUUGUUUCUAAACAAUAAAACGGAUUUUUACUGUGGUUUAUAAAUGUAUUCAGCACUAACAAACUGUAAUUAUCUGAUCUGCUUUCUAAACAUGAUAAAGCUCAAACAGAAGAUUGAACAACUUUUUUCAUGAUAUUCGAAUUAUAUGACCAGCACCUGUAGUUGUAUAUAGUUUUACUUUUAGCCCUCCACUGUAGGACAGGCCCACCACAGUUUGUACUUUGCACAUUGUAAAUAGUUCUGAUUUUGCUGCUGACUAAUAAACUAUUUUGUGACUUA